rnacentral:rRNA from 1 species
UUGAACGCUGGCGGCAGGCCUAACACAUGCAAGUUCGAGCGCGAAAGCACUUCGGUGUGAGUAGAGCGGCGGACGGGUGAGUAACGCGUAGGAAUCUACCUAGUAGUGGGGGACAACUCGGGGAAACUCGAGCUAAUACCGCAUAAGCCCUACGGGGGAAAGCGGGGGACCUUCGGGCCUCGUGCUAUUAGAUGAGCCUGCGUUGGAUUAGCUAGUUGGUGGGGUAAAGGCCUACCAAGGCGACGAUCCAUAGCUGGUCUGAGAGGAUGAUCAGCCACACCGGGACUGAGACACGGCCCGGACUCCUACGGGAGGCAGCAGUGGGGAAUAUUGCGCAAUGGGCGAAAGCCUGACGCAGCCAUGCCGCGUGUGUGAAGAAGGCCUUCGGGUUGUAAAGCACUUUCAAUUGGGAGGAAAGGUUCACGGUUAAUAACCGUGAGCUGUGACGUUACCUUUAGAAGAAGCACCGGCUAACUCCGUGCCAGCAGCCGCGGUAAUACGGAGGGUGCGAGCGUUAAUCGGAAUUACUGGGCGUAAAGCGCGCGUAGGUGGUCUGUUAAGUCGGAUGUGAAAGCCCCGGGCUCAACCUGGGAACUGCAUUCGAUACUGGCAGACUAGAGUGCGAGAGAGGGAGGUAGAAUUCCAUGUGUAGCGGUGAAAUGCGUAGAUAUGUGGAGGAAUCACCAGUGGCGAAGGCGGCCUCCUGGCUCGACACUGA